CCAACAUCACCAGUCUAUGGGUAAAAGUGUUUGAGAAGAAAUAGUAGAAAAUAAUUUUAAAGUACUGUAUAUUUGUUUUUUAAGUUUCAGAUCUGUUUGGUGAUCAGAGUAAGCUUAUUUUUGUCAUCAUUCUAUCUUGCCUGACAACUACUGUGAUUCUGAGUGUGAUUGUCAACCUUUUCCUCUUCAUGAGAAUGAAGAGGUCACGAUGUGAACACUGUGCAGCAGGGACCCCUUCUCAGCAAAGCCAGUAUGGAAAGCCUUAUGCCAUCACCUCAGUCCAACAGCUCCACAGUCACGAUGAUGGCCUGAACUACACUGCCCUGAUGUUCACUGAAAAGAAGAGUACCAAGCCUAGGAGACAGAGGAGAGAACAGAGAGAAGAAGAAACAAUCCUCCAAUCAGUAUCACAGGCGGCCAGUGGCACUUUAAUUGGGGAGGACGGGCUCAUAGUAAUGGCUAGAACUGAAUAAAUGGAAUGCUUUUGAACACAUCAAACAUAUGGAUACCAUUCCAUUCACUCCAUUCCAGCUAUUGUUAUUAGCUCCCCUAAGCAGCCUCAUGUGAUCAGCAUAAUUCUAAAUUAAGCCCCAUCCCUCCUCUGAAUUCCACUUUGAUCUUGACUGUGUCCGUGUGACCUGGCUAUUUUGUACACUUCUGAUUUGCUGUAGAAUGCCAUUGCAAGGGCCUAGCUUCACCACAAUUUUCCCCAAAGUGUGAAAGCUGAUACUAGGAUGGUUUCAGAAGUCUCAAAUCCUCAUCAAUAGUUGCUGAGGUAACUGACUGGAUACAUUUGUUUUGUAGAAGUGUACAACACAAUGUAUAUAAUGAUUUUGCAAAUGUCUGAAUUCUUCCUUUUCAUGAUAAUAGUUGUAACAUGGAACU